AAUAAUACUCCCCCGUCCCAAAAUUCUUGUCUUAGAUUUUUCUAAAUACGGAUGUAUCAAGUCACGUGUUAGUAUUAGAUACAUCUGUAUCUAGGCAAAUCUAAGACAAAAAAUUUGAAACGGGGGACUUU
rfam:Triticum aestivum genome assembly, contig: Triticum_aestivum_CS42_TGACv1_scaffold_289143_4AL